ensembl:lncRNA
UCAAACUUUACACAUAAAGCUUUGACACAGAAUAGAGAAACCUGACAGAGCAGGAUGUUUCUGUGCACAGUCAUCCGAAUAUAAACCCAACAUGUGCCGAACCUGGUUAUCCAAGUUAUGAUGAGCACAAAGGUCCAGCGCCAAUAAAGAAAUGUACAGACACUGCUCGGGUUAUUUCUACAGGUGCUGCACCUGCACCUGCACCUCCUACCAGCAGGUUUACAGUAAUCCUGGUGGCUGGACUGAAAUAGAGAUGAUAUAAUCUUUAUAUCAUGAUAUUUGAAUGAUUGUAUUUUGCAUGUUAAGGAUUAUCGAGGGUUUGCUAUGAAAUUGUAAUGAAGCAGCACAUUUCUUGAAACUUAAUACUUUUCUUUUCUUGUCAUGAAUAUUCUCAUCAGUGUUUCUUCCAUUCGUCAGUGUCCUGUGCUUUUGACCCUUGACCCGUUUGGCUGCUUGUAAUCUUGCUGAACAAGGUGUUGAUGCUUCUUCUACGAGUCACUCUGGUCAUUCUGGAUGAAUGGAAGACGACACAAAGGCACCUGACAAGCCUUAGUUGUGGCUGCUCAGCACUUCUGGAAGAAAAGGGGGUCUGUGCCUGGAUCAGGGGGUAUCAGGACGGAGCGAUGGAGGGAUGUUGUUGUGGAGGCAGGAUGAGGUCAGAGGGAAACGGAUCCAUCCAUUAGGGGUAUAAUGAGAGGGAGCAGCUGCCUGCCGCUGGGUCAGACAGCACACAGAUGUGAGGGAGCCUCAGGGCCCGACAGAGCCGAGGGGGAACGCAGGAGUCCUUGCGCCAUGACCUCAUUCCCAGAGCCAGGGCUCCCACCCAUGCCAGGACCGUCCACUGGCUGAAGACGGAGAUCAUCAAUGCCCUCAGCUCACCUGAGAGAGCCCCAUGAGUGCAGAACAUUCUGAACUGCUCGCGUGUUGCUUGGCUAAACUCUGAUCGACCUGGAGGGGCACAGCAUGCCAAACACUGAUCUCAGCGUCACCGCCACUGCCCAGCACUGCAGCUCGCAGUCAAAUACUCUCACGGGUGGUUGAAUUUUUGUAAGCUUCGCUAGCGUUAAAUGGGGUGUAGAGUACAUUCAAUUCUCUGUGUAUUUGUCUUUCACGUGAAGAGGUCAACAGAAGUGCCAGUUGGUGUCAUGGUGUAAUUUUCACUUCUGGACAUUUUGUACAGAAAAAUCGGCGGACAGAAUCUGCAGCAAGAAGUCAACAACUACGAGAACAAUGUGGCAGAAGUUUAUUUUCAAACAAUGAACACUACAUGCACAAUAUUUUUGUACGCAAAUAAGUUUGAUUAUUGCGCUGUGUUUAAGCGUGUUUGUGCUGAGUUUUGGUGGCGGAUUGUAGUGUGGGAAGAGCAGUAGCAGCAGGAUGAGUCCUCUUCGCUUUCGAUGACUCGAUGUCUACAACAAAAGAAUCCUUCUUUUUAACCCCUUAAAGGACUAGUUCAACAUUUUAGGAAAUACGUAAAUAUUCUCUUUGUUUCCCAGAGUAUGUUAUUCAGGAUUAAAGGUGCUAGGUGAUUUUAUUUCUGCUACCUUUGGACAGAGCCAGAGUAGCUGGCCUCCAGACUUUAUGCUAAGCUAGGCUAACCAUCUCCUGGCUGUAGCUUUGUAUUUAACGCACCAAUGUGAGAAUGGUAUCGAUCUUCUCUGAAUAUUUCCCAAAGAAACUAUUCCUUUAACAAGCAGCAGCUGGAACUGGACUGGAACAAAAUUCUAGUGGAGAUCCCGAAGUUUCUAAAGAUACCAAAUAUGUUGGGCUAAUUUUGGCGAACAAUAUCAUCGAAGAAAUAUUUAAAACAAGCUGAUACACAAUAUUUAUUUGGAAUGAGAUUUUUUACAACCUUAAAGCCACCUAGAGGGAAUUGGCAUUAUUAUUGUUAUUGUCAUUACUUCCUAUUGUAUUGUAAACACACUACUAAUAAUGUAUAAGGGAGCACACAUGUAACACACAAGCCUGUGCACAAACACACUUACACGUCUGCGACACUGCAGCGUGUUUAUGGUUAAGUAACUCACACAAACAUCUGUUAUACACACACAGACAUAAAAGAAUCAUAGAUGAGGACAUACAUGCAUGCACACACACGUACACCUCUGCAAAACACACUGAUUUAUACCCUUCAGAUCCCUCACUGCUGCUGGUGCUGUAUGCUCAGGUGACGACACUUAUUUUGCACACACACACACACACACUGAAGUAGGAACAGUGAUUCUUGGAGGUGUUGACACACGCAGCCAUUUCAGAUGACUGUGCAGCUGACAGUCGGUGGUGAGUUGAGUGUUGUUCCCUCUGCUGUUACAGGCCCCUGCUGUCUCUCUCUCACACGAUGACAUCCAGCUUAGUCACUCAA